AUUACAAUCCAGCAGAAGAAAUCGGUUUUUCUGUACAAAAAAAGACACAAGAGGAGCUAGGAUGCGUAUUUGACGAGAUCUUGGAAGAAUUACCAGAAAAGGGCAAAGCUGAGUUAUUUGAUGUGAUAAUGCGAUGGGUUGACUACGACUGAAGAUAAGGUCUCCUAUUUCGUUUGUUCAUAUCAUAUCCUUUUGAUUGAUUUCAUGUCCUCCUGUCAUCAGCUGUUCUUCAAAUGCUGUCAUCAUUAAUCGUCGUCAUUUUUUCCAAAAAAAUAUAGUUUCUCCUUGUUAACUGCAAUGGAUUUUUAAUGGUAAUAAGGAGUGGGAGGCCAAUUAAAUGUGUGGUGUGAAGAGUCGCUAUAUCCGGCAGGUGACCGAUGUUAUGCACUAUGAAAUUAGAGCAAAUUAGAUUGAUGAACGAGUUCAAUUAUCGGUUGAGACCUGUCAAACCAUUACCAACAAAGUAAUACUUCAUCAAAGAAAUCAAUUGUGGAUUCUAUAUUUUAUUCAUUCCACGUUUCCUAUCCUACUCUUGAUGAUAAUCGAGUACAGGUUCACCAUUAUUUGAAUAUUCGUUCGGAGAUACCUUGCAAAGUUCCAACCUCUCCACCUCAAUAGCCUCUACACUGGGUAUUGGAGAGAAUAAUCAUAUUUGGAAUCAGUUUGGUGCGUCUUUUUUGGAUCUUAACUUGUGCCCUUUGUCAAG